rnacentral:miRNA from 14 species
UGUGUGUGUGUGUGUGUGUGUGUGUGUGUGUGUGAGAGAGAGAUAGAGAGACUGUAUUGCAGCCUUAAUAGCCACAUUAGUUCCUCGCUCGACUGAGUCAUUUGAAGCAAGACGGACGAGCAAAUAGGCCAUUAGGAAGCCACAGAUCUCAUAACACACACACACACACACACACACACACACACA